rnacentral:rRNA from 1 species
GAUGAACGCUGGCGGCGUGCCUAAUACAUGCAAGUCGAGCGAACGGACGAGAAGCUUGCUUCUCUGAUGUUAGCGGCGGACGGGUGAGUAACACGUGGAUAACCUACCUAUAAGACUGGGAUAACUUCGGGAAACCGGAGCUAAUACCGGAUGAUAUUUUGAACCGCAUGGUUCAAAAGUGAAAGACGGUCUUGCUGUCACUUAUAGAUGGAUCCGCGCUGCAUUAGCUAGUUGGUAAGGUAACGGCUUACCAAGGCAACGAUGCAUAGCCGACCUGAGAGGGUGAUCGGCCACACUGGAACUGAGACACGGUCCAGACUCCUACGGGAGGCAGCAGUAGGGAAUUUUCCGCAAUGGGCGAAAGCCUGACGGAGCAACGCCGCGUGAGUGAUGAAGGUCUUCGGAUCGUAAAACUCUGUUAUUAGGGAAGAACAUAUGUGUAAGUAACUGUGCACAUCUUGACGGUACCUAAUCAGAAAGCCACGGCUAACUACGUG